rnacentral:rRNA from 1 species
GACGAACGCUGGCGGCGUGCUUAACACAUGCAAGUCGAACGGAAAGGCCCCUUUGGGGGUACUCGUGUGGCGAACGGGUGAGUAACACGUGAGUAACCUGCCCUUGACUUCGGGAUAACUUCAGGAAACUGGGGCUAAUACCGGAUAGGAAUCCUUGCUGCAUGGUGGGGGUUGGAAAGCUUCGGCGGUUUUGGAUGGACUCGCGGCUUAUCAGCUUGUUGGUGGGGUAGUGGCUUACCAAGGCUUUGACGGGUAGCCGGCCUGAGAGGGCGACCGGCCACAUUGGGACUGAGAUACGGCCCAGACUCCUACGGGAGGCAGCAGUGGGGAAUAUUGCACAAUGGGCGGAAGCCUGAUGCAGCAACGCCGCGUGCGGGAUGACGGCCUUCGGGUUGUAAACCGCUUUCAGCAGGGGCGAAGCUUGUGGUGACGGUACCUGCAGAAGAAGCACCGGCUAACUACGUG